ACUUAAAUUGAAGAGUUUGAUCAUGGCUCAGAUUGAACGCUGGCGGCAGGCCUAACACAUGCAAGUCGAGCGGUAGCACAGAGAGCUUGCUCUCGGGUGACGAGCGGCGGACGGGUGAGUAAUGUCUGGGAAACUGCCUGAUGGAGGGGGAUAACUACUGGAAACGGUAGCUAAUACCGCAUAACGUCGCAAGACCAAAGUGGGGGACCUUCGGGCCUCAUGCCAUCAGAUGUGCCC
rnacentral:rRNA from 1 species